CACGUACUGUGCGAACGUUAUUCGGAAUCACUGGGCUUAAAGGGUGCGUAGGCGGCGAUUCAAGUCAGAUGUGAAAUGCCUGAGCUCAACUGAGGCAUUGCGUUUGAAACUGAAUUGCUAGAGUAUUUCAGGGGUGUGCGGAACUGCCAGUGGAACGGUGAAAUGUGUUGAUAUUGGCAGGAACACCGGAGGCGAAAGCGGCACACUGGGGAAUAACUGACGCUGAGGCACGAAAGCCAAGGGAGCGAACGGG
rnacentral:rRNA from 1 species